rnacentral:rRNA from 1 species
UACGGGGGGAGCAAGCGUUGUUCGGAUUUACUGGGCGUAAAGGGCGCGUAGGCGGUCGUGACAAGUCACUUGUGAAAUCUCCGGGCUUAACUCGGAACGGUCAAGUGAUACUGUCGGACUAGAGUACAGAAGGGGCAACUGGAAUCCUUGGUGUAGCGGUGAAAUGCGUAGAUAUCGAGAGGAACACCUGCGGCGAAGGCGGGUUGCUGGGCUGAUACUGACGCUGAGGCGCGAAAGCCAGGGGAGCGAACGGG